ACACACACAUUCGUCUCAAUUCAUUUCCAUUGAAUCAGGAUAUGUGGGACAAUCUGUAGCUGACAAUUCUCCUCUUUGUGGUUCUGUUAACCAUCCAGAUUUGGAAAAAACAACUUUAGAAUAUAUGUAUCCUUUCCCACAAACCAGACCCAUGAAAUAAAAAGAGGUGAACUUGAACAGACCAGCAACUUCCUUAGUUACUUAUGUACUUGAACUUGUAAACAUAGCUUCCUGUGCUGAUGUAUUUUCCUAACUUCAAAGUGCAGGUGUACAUGGAACUGCAUUAUACAUGGAACUGCAUUAGAGUAUUUUACAAAAUAUCAACAUAGUGCCAAGUCCAUUUCAAUUUUAAUCUCAUGCUUCCUCAAUGUAUAACUCAGUUAUUUCACCUAGAAACAACUUCUGAAAAGUAAUCACUUAAUCACACCACUCCUUGGAGUUCUCUGAAAUGCUAAUAAAAUUCAAAUGAGUACUCCACCCAUUUUACCUAUUUGUUUAUUGAUGCCCUUUUAUUUACCAUCCUUGAAGGAAAGCUACUUAAAGCUUUAUAAAGUCCUACUUCCUGUACUCUGGAGGAGGGUGAAAGCUGUAGAAAAAAAGAAUCAUUUUUCUACUGCAUUAUGUGAAUUAUCUAGAAAAGUUGAGCGGGGAAUCUAGGACAAAGGAAAGUAGACAGUGCCCAGCAUACCCACUGUCAGUUUUCUGGUACAACCAGAAUCUUGGUCAAAAGCAUUUCAGGGGGCUGGGGUUGUGGCUCAGUGGUAGAGCGCUUGCCUCGAACGCCUGAGGCACUAGGUUCAAUCCUCAGCACCAUAUAAAAAUAAAGGUAUUGUGUUCACCUGCAAUUAAUAUAUAUAUAAGCAUUUUAGAACAGUGGGCACCUAUAGAGCAAAAUGUAAGUACAUCACCAAAACAUGAACAUAAACUUUACCACUGAGAUCUUGGCUUCAUUUCUCUAAAUGCAACCCAGAGACACAAGAGAACAUACUAAGAAAUGCAAAAUGUUGGAAUGGAAUUUUGUUCCCAAGAGAUACAGGAUAAAGUCAUUUAGAUAAGUGUACCUCAUGACCUCCCCAGGAAUGUAGCCAGGGAACCAGGGCUGGUGUGAGGUAGAGGUGACCUUAACAGAAGUGGUUGAGCAUCAUUGAGAAAUGUCAUAGGAAAAAGCUGUUUUCUGACAGUUUCAGUUCCUCAUGAAAUGAUGUCUAACUGGUGGCUGCUAUGGUCUGAAUGUUAAUGUCCCCGUUCCAAAAUUCAUAUAUUGAAACCUAAUUGCCAUUGUGAUGGUGUUAAGAGAGGAGGCCUUUAAGAGGUGAUUGGAGCACAAGGACAGAGUCCUCCUGAGUAGGGUUAAUGCCCUCAUGAAAGAUCCCAGGGAGCUGCUGCUUUGUCCACCACGAAGGGCUGCAGCGUGAGGAUAGGCCUCACCAGGCACAGAAUCUGCUGGGCCCUUGAUCUUGCACUUCCCCACCUCCAGAACUGUGAGAAAUAAAGCUCUGUUAGUAAGCUACCCAGUUUAUGGUUUUUUGUUAUAAUAACCUGAACAAAUUUACAGUGAUAUUCCAAGUUGGAAUUCCCAUCCCAAAUGCAAAACAACAGAUUUGUUUGGCAUCAAAAUCCAACCUGGUCCAUGAAAAUUGUCUUUUAUUUGCCCUGUUUUCCAGAUAUGAAAUGAUUCCUAAGAAGUAUUGACUACUGUGCACUUUUUAGCUUGUAGUAACAUUCUAAAGGUCCUAACAAACACUAAAACCUCAAUGAUCUUUCCCUUCAGUCAUCAGUACAAAAGGAUAUUUUCUGUACUAUAGUUUGUAUAGUGUCAAUAAUAAACCUUUUGCUUUUAUUGAUGCAUUAAAAUUAUACAUAAUAGUGGAAUUUUGUUGUUAAAAUUCAUCUUUGCACACAAUAAAACAAUAUAAUUUGGCCAUUUUCAUUCUAAUGUCAGUAAUAUACUUAAUGUCUCAAAAGAUUACAGUUAACUUAUAGUUUGUUGAAGUGGCUAUUUUGACUCAUGGAAGAAAAAUAAAAAGUGGUGAUGUAAACCAUAA